UACGGAGGGAGCUAGCGUUGUUCGGAAUUACCGGGCGUAAAGCGCACGUAGGCGGCUUUUUAAGUCAGGGGUGAAAUCCCGGGGCUCAACCCCGGAACUGCCCUUGAAACUGGAGAGCUAGAAUCUUGGAGAGGCGAGUGGAAUUCCGAGUGUAGAGGUGAAAUUCGUAGAUAUUCGGAAGAACACCAGUGGCGAAGGCGACUCGCUGGACACGUAUUGACGCUGAGGUGCGAAAGCGUGGGGAGCAAACAGG
rnacentral:rRNA from 1 species